GGGAGACCUUCUUCUUGUGCAAUAUCAGAGGCAGAGCGGAGUCCAAAAGAAUUGGUCGGGUAUAGGUCGAGUUUGGGUUGGGAACAAUUGUCAUCCCUGUAUUAAGCUCAAAAUGGAUAAAAAUGUAGUAAAAGCCUAAACUGGUGGCACAAAAAAAAAAAGUUUGAAAGCCCUAUUCACCAAAAGUAAACAAGCUCUAUAUUUUUCUUUAGAAUGAUGAUUGGUGAUCAAGACCAGAAAGAUAUUAAUUGUUUUGAAACUCGGUCCACCUAUAUGCUUUGUAACAGGAUGCUAACAUUUUCUGUGUGUUCUAUUUUGUAUUUGUUUGCAAGCCACUGCCCUCACCUAUUUUGUUUUAAUGGAUAUUUAUGGAUACAUUUAGAAAAGAUCAGAAAAUCAUACAGGAGAAAUUACCUGA
rnacentral:misc_RNA from 1 species